UACGAAGGGUGCAAGCGUUACUCGGAAUUACUGGGCGUAAAGCGUGCGUAGGUGGUGAGUUAAGUCUGAUGUGAAAUCCCCGGGCUCAACCUGGGAAUGGCAUUGGAUACUGGCUCGCUAGAGUGCGGUAGAGGGUGGUGGAAUUCCCGGUGUAGCAGUGAAAUGCGUAGAGAUCGGGAGGAACAUCUAUGGCGAAGGCGGCCACCUGGACCAACACUGACACUGAGGCACGAAAGCGUGGGGAGCAAACAGG
rnacentral:rRNA from 1 species